AGUGAACGCUGGCGGUAGGCCUAACACAUGCAAGUCGAACGGCAGCACAGUAAGAGCUUGCUCUUACGGGUGGCGAGUGGCGGACGGGUGAGGAAUACAUCGGAAUCUACUUUUUCGUGGGGGAUAACGUAGGGAAACUUACGCUAAUACCGCAUACGACCUACGGGUGAAAGCAGGGGAUCUUCGGACCUUGCGCGAUUGAAUGAGCCGAUGUCGGAUUAGCUAGUUGGCGGGGCAAAGGCCCACCAAGGCGACGAUCCGUAGCUGGUCUGAGAGGAUAAUCAGCCACACUGGAGCUGAGACACGGUCCAGACUCCUACGGGAGGCAGCAGUGGGGAAUAUUGGACAAUGGGCGCAAGCCUGAUCCAGCCAUACCGCGUGGGUGAAGAAGGCCUUCGGGUUGUAAAGCCCUUUUGUUGGGAAAGAAAAGCAGCAGGUUAAUACCCCGCUGUUCUGACGGUACCCAAAGAAUAAGCACCGGCUAACUUCGUG
rnacentral:rRNA from 1 species